GGGUGUGCUUGGAGGAGGCAAGGUUCUAGAAACCACCGAAUCUCGCGGGUUCGACUCCCGCCACAUCCA
rnacentral:tRNA from 1 species